GGGUCGGCAGAUAAGCGCGGCCGCGUAGGGGACCAGGGAGCAGAGGGCUCGAGAAUGAAACCUCCCCUGCUAGCCGCGAACCCUGUCUGAAAGGGGGACGGCCAGACAGACAGGGGAAGCGGCGGGUAAACGCAGGGGAGGCAAACAAUAUGUACCACCAAAAAAGGUAUACAAAUCAAAAGAACAUCAACAUAAAGCCUGUCAAUAAAAGACAAUAAGCAAACAGAAAACGAUAACAUAAAAUAACACAGGCAAAAAAACCUUAGUGAAACCCAUCAAUCAAAAACCAAGUAGGAGAGAAAAAUUAUACUUAGCUGGUCUGAGG